CCUACGGGAGGCUGCAGUGGGGGAUAUUGCACAAUGGGGGAAACCCUGAUGCAGCGACGCCGCGUGAGUGAAGAAGUAUUUCGGUAUGUAAAGCUCUAUCAGCAGGGAAGAAAAUGACAGUAACUGACCAAGAAGCCCCGGCGAACUACGGGCCAGCAGCCGCGGUAAUACGUAGGGGGCAAGCGUUAUCCGGAUUUACUGGGUGUAAAGGGAGCGUAGACGGGUAUGUAAGUCUGGAGUGAAAGGCCGGGGCCCAACCCCGGGACUGCUGUGGAAACUGUGUAGCUGGAGUGCAGGAGAGGCAGGCGGAAUUCCUGGUGUAGCGGUGAAAUGCGUAGAUAUCAGGAGGAACACCGGCGGCGAAGGCGGCCUGCUGGACUGAAACUGACGUUGAGGCUCGAAAGCGUGGGGAGCAAACAGGAGUAGAUACCCUGGUAGUC
rnacentral:rRNA from 1 species